rnacentral:lncRNA from 1 species
GGGAAUUGUCAGCACUCUCCAGGGAAGGAGGGGGCAGGUCUGUUCGGGAUGGGACAGUGAGAGGACAUCAAGCCACAGUGGACUGGGUCUGGGAGCAAAGUUCUUUCCCAAACGUUCACUUUCAAGAUUCAAAGCUUUGGCUGGAAUGAGCUCGCAGCCUCCCAGGACCUCGGAACGAGCGGGCUCUUCUGACCCUUGAAGCUUUUAGUCCCCUCCUUGUCCCAAACUUUCCAGAACUGCAUUGCCCAAUACGGAAGCCACAGGCUACAGGCAGUUUUCGAGCCCUGGAAAUGUGAUGGGUCUGCCUUGAGACAAAUUUACAACGAGGUCUGUGGCUCACAGUGUGUUUCUACUGGUCGGCCCUGCUCUAGAUGGCCUACUGUGUGCUCGUCCCUGAGAGCUACAGAGGCCGCAGAGCAGAACCAGAAGAGAGUUCGGCUCCUGGCUGCCUGCAGCCGGCUGUGAGAGCCCAGACAAGGGACACGC